UUAAGCGACUAAGCGUACACGGUGGAUGCCCUGGCAGUCAGAGGCGAUGAAGGACGUGCUAAUCUGCGAUAAGCGUCGGUGAGGUGAUAUGAACCGUUAUAACCGGCGAUUUCCGAAUGGGGAAACCCAGUGUGUUUCGACACACUAUCAUUAACUGAAUCCAUAGGUUAAUGAGGCGAACCGGGGGAACUGAAACAUCUAAGUACCCCGAGGAAAAGAAAUCAACCGAGAUUCCCCCAGUAGCGGCGAGCGAACGGGGAGGAGCCCAGAGCCUGAAUCAGUGUGUGUGUUAGUGGAAGCGUCUGGAAAGGCGUGCGAUACAGGGUGACAGCCCCGUACACAAAAAUGCACAUAUUGUGAGCUCGAUGAGUAGGGCGGGACACGUGGUAUCCUGUCUGAAUAUGGGGGGACCAUCCUCCAAGGCUAAAUACUCCUGACUGACCGAUAGUGAACCAGUACCGUGAGGGAAAGGCGAAAAGAACCCCGGCGAGGGGAGUGAAAAAGAACCUGAAACCGUGUACGUACAAGCAGUGGGAGCCGUGUACGUACAAGCAGUGGGAGCCUCUUAAUGGGGUGACUGCGUACCUUUUGUAUAAUGGGUCAGCGACUUAUAUUUAAUGGGUCAGCGACUUAUAUUCUGUAGCAAGGUUAACCGAAUAGGGGAGCCGAAGGGAAACCGAGUCUUAACUGGGAAACCGAGUCUUAACUGGGCGUUAAGUUGCAGGGUAUAGACCCGAAACCCGGUGAUCUAGCCAUGGGCAGGUUGAAGGUUGGGUAACACUAACUGGAGGACCGAACCGACUAAUGUUGAAAAAUUAGCGGAUGACUUGUGGCUGGGGGUGAAAGGCCAAUCAAACCGGGAGAUAGCUGGUUCUCCCCGAAAGCUAUUUAGGUAGCGCCUCGUGAAUUCAUCUCCGGGGGUAGAGCACUGUUUCGGCAAGGGGGUCAUCCCGACUUACCAACCCGAUGCAAACUGCGAAUACCGGAGAAUGUUAUCACGGGAGACACACGGCGGGUGCUAACGUCCGUCGUGAAGAGGGAAACAACCCAGACCGCCAGCUAAGGUCCCAAAGUCAUGGUUAAGUGGGAAACGAUGUGGGAAGGCCCAGACAGCCAGGAUGUUGGCUUAGAAGCAGCCAUCAUUUAAAGAAAGCGUAAUAGCUCACUGGUCGAGUCGGCCUGCGCGGAAGAUGUAACGGGGCUAAACCAUGCACCGAAGCUGCGGCAGCGACACUAUGUGUUGUUGGGUAGGGGAGCGUUCUGUAAGCCUGUGAAGGUGGCCUGUGAGGGUUGCUGGAGGUAUCAGAAGUGCGAAUGCUGACAUAAGUAACGAUAAAGCGGGUGAAAAGCCCGCUCGCCGGAAGACCAAGGGUUCCUGUCCAACGUUAAUCGGGGCAGGGUGAGUCGACCCCUAAGGCGAGGCCGAAAGGCGUAGUCGAUGGGAAACAGGUUAAUAUUCCUGUACUUGGUGUUACUGCGAAGGGGGGACGGAGAAGGCUAUGUUGGCCGGGCGACGGUUGUCCCGGUUUAAGCGUGUAGGCUGGUUUUCCAGGCAAAUCCGGAAAACCAAGGCUGAGGCGUGAUGACGAGGCACUACGGUGCUGAAGCGACAAAUGCCCUGCUUCCAGGAAAAGCCUCUAAGCAUCAGGUAACAUCAAAUCGUACCCCAAACCGACACAGGUGGUCAGGUAGAGAAUACCAAGGCGCUUGAGAGAACUCGGGUGAAGGAACUAGGCAAAAUGGUGCCGUAACUUCGGGAGAAGGCACGCUGAUAUGUAGGUGAAGCGACUUGCUCGUGGAGCUGAAAUCAGUCGAAGAUACCAGCUGGCUGCAACUGUUUAUUAAAAACACAGCACUGUGCAAACACGAAAGUGGACGUAUACGGUGUGACGCCUGCCCGGUGCCGGAAGGUUAAUUGAUGGGGUUAGCGGCAACGCGAAGCUCUUGAUCGAAGCCCCGGUAAACGGCGGCCGUAACUAUAACGGUCCUAAGGUAGCGAAAUUCCUUGUCGGGUAAGUUCCGACCUGCACGAAUGGCGUAAUGAUGGCCAGGCUGUCUCCACCCGAGACUCAGUGAAAUUGAACUCGCUGUGAAGAUGCAGUGUACCCGCGGCAAGACGGAAAGACCCCGUGAACCUUUACUAUAGCUUGACACUGAACAUUGAGCCUUGAUGUGUAGGAUAGGUGGGAGGCUUUGAAGUGUGGACGCCAGUCUGCAUGGAGCCGACCUUGAAAUACCACCCUUUAAUGUUUGAUGUUCUAACGUUGGCCCGUAAUCCGGGUUGCGGACAGUGUCUGGUGGGUAGUUUGACUGGGGCGGUCUCCUCCUAAAGAGUAACGGAGGAGCACGAAGGUUGGCUAAUCCUGGUCGGACAUCAGGAGGUUAGUGCAAUGGCAUAAGCCAGCUUGACUGCGAGCGUGACGGCGCGAGCAGGUGCGAAAGCAGGUCAUAGUGAUCCGGUGGUUCUGAAUGGAAGGGCCAUCGCUCAACGGAUAAAAGGUACUCCGGGGAUAACAGGCUGAUACCGCCCAAGAGUUCAUAUCGACGGCGGUGUUUGGCACCUCGAUGUCGGCUCAUCACAUCCUGGGGCUGAAGUAGGUCCCAAGGGUAUGGCUGUUCGCCAUUUAAAGUGGUACGCGAGCUGGGUUUAGAACGUCGUGAGACAGUUCGGUCCCUAUCUGCCGUGGGCGCUGGAGAACUGAGGGGGGCUGCUCCUAGUACGAGAGGACCGGAGUGGACGCAUCACUGGUGUUCGGGUUGUCAUGCCAAUGGCACUGCCCGGUAGCUAAAUGCGGAAGAGAUAAGUGCUGAAAGCAUCUAAGCACGAAACUUGCCCCGAGAUGAGUUCUCCCUGAAGAAAG
rnacentral:rRNA from 1 species